GCCCUCUGGUUCCCCUUCCCAUCAGAUCUUAGCCCAGGUCUUGGUGGUCGUAAAAGAGGAAGAGUACACUGAAGCUGGCCUCACAGCACUGUACUCUGGUAAUGAGCAUCAGCCAGAUUCAAGCUUGC